GGGCCCGCACAAGCGGUGGAUUAUGUGGUUUAAUUCGAAGCAACGCGCAGAACCUUACCUGGGCUUGAAAUCUCGAGAAGGUCGACCAAAAUUUGACCGUGCUCUUCGGAGAACUCGAUGACAGGCGCUGCAUGGCUGUCGUCAGCUCGUGUCGUGAGAUGUUGGUUAAGUCUCGCAACGAGCGCAACCCCUAUCCUUAGUUGCCAGCAUUAAGUUGGGCACUCUAGGGAGACUGCCUGGGUUAACCAGGAGGAAGGUGGGGCAUGACGUCAAGUCCUCAUGGCCCUUAUGUCCAGGGCUACACACGUAAUACAAUGGUGCAUACAAAGGGACGCGACCCUGCGAAGGUGAG
rnacentral:rRNA from 1 species